rnacentral:misc_RNA from 1 species
UUGUGUAAAUAGGCAAAAAUGUUCAUCUGUCAGUGAACUUUAGUGCCCCAAAAUGGCAAAACGGCUGUACAUAGACAAGUAGCUAAAUGUCUUCGGCACUGUCUAUGUUCAGGAAGACGACCAGUCAUGGAGAUUUGAAAAGAUCAGCUCAGAAGGUUGCAGAUCCAAAGAAAGAUUCCGUGACUCGGUUGAAGCACUUGCGAUCUGUGCUUGACAAUUAUGAUACUUUGGAGGCAAAGAAAUUUUUCCAGGAAAACUACUCUCACAUCUAUUACAUAUUCUAUGAUAACUUUGGUGUUGUGGAGCAUGAACUCAAACAAAGAGUGAACAAGGCUCACAGAGAAGAACUGGAUGGAGUUCUGCAUAUCUUUGAAAAAAUUCUGUUCCUCUUACCAGAGUUGAUUCAUAAGAGAUGGAUGUUUCACAGCAUUGGCCGUGUUAUGAAGAAACUGUUGCAUACAAGCAACUCUAUAAAGCUGCGCAGAGAAGGCAUGAAACUGUUCAUCGUCUGGUAUCAGAUUCUGCAGGAGAAUGCUUCCGAAGAGUGUCAUCAGAUAUUUUGGCAGCUGGUGCCAGGACUCGGAGAAGGGCUUCAUCAAAAUAUUCUCAGCCAGAAGGCAACAUCAACUGCAGACACUGGUGUUGGGAUAAUCGCAGCAGGAGAGAUCACUGCCAUUCUACAAGGAUUUGGUGAAAAACUACCCGAGAACUUGACAAAGUAUUUCUUUGAUGCCCUUCUUAGAGUUAUGGUGUCGGAGGUUGUAAAGAUUGAAUGGGUAAACAGGGAGAUGAAAGAAGCGAGUUUUGUUUUUUUAUUCAAUAGGUUUAAGACAUCUUAUCUCUACUGGAUACUACCAAGCUUUAAAAUCAGGGAUAUUUAUGAGCCAGUAUUAGAGUUGCCAAGAAAGCGAACACGACAGGAAGUGGCUCCUUCAGAUCAGUCCGAGAAUACUUCUGGAUGUCGGGAUUCCUUCAUUAGAUGGCUGGCAAACUUUACAAUUUCUGCCAAAAAAAUGGAGUCACAGAGAGCUGUCUAUUCCUCUGGAGUGAUGGAAAGUCCCUUAACAAACCGUGAGGAUGUGCCAGAUGGCCUGGACACCAAGUGUACGUUGUCCGAUAUGGCUGCAGGCCCCGGUGAAAAGGACAUUUCAAGUGCUAAUCGCAGUGCUGAAGACCACAGUCAUUCAGAAUAUGCCAUUGUACGCACCGUGCUGUAUUCAACCAGGGAGAAUGUUAAUAUUAUUCACGAGUGUUUUAGACAGGCACUGCUGUUUUCAUUUGAAAAUUCUGGGGCCAUGAAGAAGGUGGUUGGUGUAUACAAGGAGUGGUUUCAGCAUGAUGAGCGAAGGCCGAUCUUUAUGAUGGAGCCCGGCAACACAGGCGGUGUGUGUGAGUGUGAUUCGUUGUCCGGUACACCGGAAUACCACCACGGUAGUCUGUCGGACAUUGUUGAGGAGGAUGUUUCCUCAGAUGACUCUGUUAGUGCUGGUUUUGCUAUGAAGCCCCAUCAGUUGAAUGUCACAGACGGAGGUGAGAAGCCCAAGUACAUACGUAACGCCUCGUACCUGGGGGCCGUGGAAGAGUUGGCCGACCACGGUCACGUCAACCAGGCCGAUGUGAAGGCUGGCAUGCAGAAAGUGCUGCAGGUGUUCAUCACCAACGCCGGGAACAUCUUCUUGUUAGAUGCUGCCAACAGCCACGAACUUAAUGAGCAGGUUGAUUUAUGCAAAAGAGUGCUGAACAUCUACAGACAUAUAGUGAUGAAUGUGCAAAUGGUGCAGAAGACUUGGGAACAGUUGCUUCUUGUGUUGCUAAGAAUAACAUCAGGAGUGUUGCAGACACAGCAAGCAAGUCAUAAACAGCAAGCUUUGGGACGCAACUUGGCACAGGCUAUUUUUCAGACAAUAAUUGUGACGUGGAUCAAAGCCAACUUGAAUGUUUUCAUCUGUUCAAACCUCUGGGACGAGUUACUGAACGUCUUGUCAAGUCUGACAUCCUGGAUUGAACUUAUUAAAGAGUGGUCGAAAACAAUGGAGACGUUAACCCGUGUGUUGGCCAGGCAGGUUUAUGGUUUGGACUUGAUGGAUCUGCCUUUAGUCAGACUUAGUGAGCAGAAAGAAAAACGGAGACGAGGACAAUCAUUUUAUAAUUCAGGAAGAUCAACAGACGACCAAAAAUUCACUGAUGAUUGGAGUCAAGGUCAAGGAAAAGCCGACAUUCCAUCAAAAAGUUCAACGACUAAUUCAGCAAAUCAAGAUGCAAACUUUGAGCGUGGAAAGUUUAAAAGUGAUGGUGCAGGAGGAGGCCGUUCCCGGCCAGACCUUCACAAACAGCGGUCUCUCAGUGGGGAGCCGUCGCCAGCCCACUCCAGGUCCGAGUCGAACGUCACAGACGUCCUAGUGCGCAGCAGUAGCGAAGGAACCAUUGCUGAUCCUAAAGAACUCAUCGAAAAACUCAGAGGUGUCAACUUGAAUAGAGAGCCUAACAGAAGUGCAGACAUACCUGCAUGUGGUGCCGCUGAUGCAAUAGACUCGAUAUCUGGAGCCUCCGCUGCGGUGGAAGACCACGAGGUGGCUGAACUGACGACCACGUGUACAGCGGAACUUGCCAGCGCCAGCGGAAUCAACCCAGACGGGGGUGCGCAGUCAGAGAUGGACAACAUCAGCCUGGACAAGUCAGACUCUGACAUGGUCGUCAAAUGUUCUCACACACCAUCUCCAACAUCUGUACACUCGCCGAACGGAUCACGGUCGCCGUCCCCAGUAGCUGAGCUCAUUCUCGACCAGCCUCGCAACGACAGUCUAACCCCGGACCGCGACAGUCUGCACAUUGACAUGGUGGAAGGAUCAAACGAGGCAAUCAUAACGAGAGCAGACUCAACUCAAGAGUAUAGAAGUGUGAUGGCUGGUGGUACCCUGUCAGGCUGGACACCUGAUGUGGCUGUUGUUUUGUGGAAGCGGAUGCUCGGUUGCCUAGGUGACGUCAACAAUAUUGAGGACCCAGUCAUCCACGAGACUGUUUUCGACUACCUUGGUGAUCUUUUGGCUAUUCUCAUCAGGUUGAGAGAAAACCUUGGAGUAACCCAAGAUAAUACCUCCACACCACCUCCUCCAGAAUUAAUCCCUCCACAGCAAAUAUUCGGAAGCUGGGUGUUCAAGUGCCUUACACUAAGCCAGAAAUACAAGAAUGGCAAACUGAAGGCGUAUCAGCUGCUCUGUCAGAUGUUUGUGAGACGACACGAUGUUCAACCCAGCAAGGAUGUCCUCUCUCAGUUUAUUUACGUACUGCAUCAAGGACUCAUCUCUGUAGACCAGGAUGUGGUUAAUGUGUUGGUGCGGCAUUGUGGAACAAAACCCUUCUCGCUGGCCCUGCCUGGCAGCAGUUUACUCAUCCUGGACUUCAUCCACGCUGCAGGAACAGUAAUCUCUUCACCUGAUGCCAAAGUGCCACCGCGUGAAGAAGCUGUGUCGGUGCUUGGUUCAUUGCUGUGUUUCUCCAAUCAUUUUAAUAAGCUGCCAGUACUACAGCCCAACACAAUGGACAUGACACAGUUAUCAUCUAAAGACUUGAAGGAACAUAUCAUUAAUUUAUUGUUGAAAGCAGGAAAACGAGAGCCAGCUGGUCUGGCUAGGUGUAUUGCUGUUAGUAGUGUUGGGAUUUUCCUCUAUGAGGAGCUGUCACAUGACACAUCUCACCCGAAGAUUAAAGAAAGUGUCCAUGUUCUGCUGGCUAGUCUCAGGUGUGGAUACCGGAAAUCUGCCAAAGUGGCGUCUGACAUGUUGACCCUUCUCUGUGAUCACUGCAGUAAGCUGAUGAAGUAUUACCCAUCUCUGCCGAAGACCAUAGUGGAGUUUAUUGCUCAGACCAUAUCGACGUUACUCAACCAUGAAAAUUUGGGAUCUGAUGAGGAAAAAAGGUUGAUAGUGGACAUGAUGUUCUGCAUGGUGGAGUGGUGCAUGAAAAUGCCAAUUACCCUGCUCAUGGAGUCCACUGUUGAGGAUCGCAGUUGUCUGUAUAAGGUUUUCAGGAUUUUGCAUUCAUCAGUGACUGGUCACUCUGCCUCGUCUCUGACCCGCUCAAGUAAGUCUUUGGCCGAUUUUAUGCAGGACCUGGAGGGUGACAUGUGUGACAGUCCCGGUGGAUCCCCCAGGCAGUCUAGUCAUGAGUCUGGAGUCGAGAUGGUGGACGAACCAAAAGACCCGGUCUUUGAAACACCAAGAAAACCAGAAACGGACAUUGUCAAAUUGGCAGCCAGAACUUUGAUGACACACCUAGUGAACCACCUGUGUCACUUUCCCAUGGGGUCUGGAGCAGUCAGGUUGAACAGCAAUACACAAGAACACCACGACUUGCCAAAUUUCAGCGAGGACGAACUCAAAAGUGAUAUUUUUUCUGCUCACAACAUACAGUUCUUUGUAAUGAACCACAGAUCCCUGAUCUCAUUUAUCGAGUUGCCUGCCAUGGACGCGCCUGGUGGAGGUGUGACGGCGGGACUGUCCACCGCCAGGACGGUGUGUCGCGUCGUCAUCCGUGACCUCUGUGGCAAGUUCUGCUGGGAAAGUUCUGUCUUGUACAGCCCACCCUGGUACAAGAAGGGCUCCUCUUUAUGCAAUGCGAAGACUCUGUUGGGUAUGAGAAGUGAAGUUGAGCUUGAGCCUCUGGUCAUAACGGAGGAGUCUGAUACAAGUCUACCUGCCCCCGCCCAGUCGCGGCCUGCGUCAGAGCUGCCUCUGUACGAAACCAUCACAGAAAAUGACGACAACUUGGAUCAUCUGUUGCGUUACAUCGCCCACACAAGCCCCGAGUGUGUGCUGAGUGUCGGGAGUCCACUGAACAUCCCGGCCCAGCUACCGGAGAAGAUGUGCGUGAACGCGGAGAGCGUGAUGACCGAGAUGGUCACACAGCAGAAGGUGGCUGAGAUUGACUACUACAGCAUUCACAAGAACGACGUCAGUGUUGAAUCUACUAACUUGGACUUGCUUGAUUUUGUUCAGACAAACGGAGACAUACCAUUUGCUUGCCAAGCCCCAGAUGCCGAUGGAGAUACACGACCCUGUGUCCCCGUUCCAGAUGUGUCGGCUAGUCCUGGAUCAGCUGGGUCUCUUGUCUUGGGAGAAAAGAGUCCAUUUUGAUUUGCUUAAAAAGAGUGAUAAAUUGGUCAGAGAGCUGAAGAAUCUAGACAGUCAGAUGUGCCGUGAGACACACAAGAUUGCCGUUAUUUACGUAGCCGCAGGACAGGAAGAUCGGAGUUCCAUCCUCUCCAACUCUGGUGCUAGCAAACCAUUUGAGGAUUUUGUGGCAGGAUUGGGUUGGGA